GGCCUCGUAAUUCAGUGGUAGAAUGCCUGCUUUACACGCAGUAUGUCGCGGGUUCGAUCCCCGUCGGAGUCA
rnacentral:tRNA from 1 species